rnacentral:SRP_RNA from 1 species
GGGCUUGGUAACGCGAGCCUGUAACCCAAGUGGGAUUAAGAUGGUGGAACAAUUGGGCUCGCUCUGAAGGCUGGGCUUUUGGGGUGCUAUCUUCUGGCCUGCCCGUUCCAAGUGGUGAGUUUGGAUGGUGGAGUCUCUGCGAAGGCGGAGGCUUCAUUGUCCUUAGUUCGGAAGGUACCGCGUGAGGCUGGCUUCACAGAGCAGCGAAAACCUCCUCCUCUCUGCAGUGGAAGGAUAACGGGCCGGUGCAUUCUUAGUCCACUAACGCCGGAUGGGCUACCCAAAUUGAACCACCAUCUUU